UACGGGGGGGGCAAGCGUUGUUCGGAAUUACUGGGCGUAAAGGGCUCGUAGGCGGCCAACUAAGUCAGACGUGAAAUCCCUCGGCUUAACCGGGGAACUGCAUCUGAUACUGGAUGGCUUGAGUUCGGGAGAGGGAUGCGGAAUUCCAGGUGUAGCGGUGAAAUGCGUAGAUAUGCGGAGGAACACCGAUGGCGAAGGCAAUCCCCUGGGCCUGCACUGACGCUCAUGCACGAAAGCGUGGGGAGCAAACAGGA
rnacentral:rRNA from 1 species